UAUUUAGUAGGGGACCCCAUGCAGGAGGACGCCCACUGGAGCUCUGGAGUGUGGGACAUUCCCAAACCUAAACUGUUAACUGAGACCUGGAACUGUAGCCGAGUCACAUAUUCUUCUUUUUUUGAGACGUAGUUUGGUUCUUGUUACCCAGGCUGGAGUGCAGUGGCGCGAUCUCGGCUCACUGCAACCUCCGCCUCCCCGGUUCAAGUGAUUCUCCUGCCUCAGCCUAACAAGUAGCUGGGGUUACAGGCAUGCGCCACCACGCCUGGCUAAUUUUUUUGUAUUUUUAUUAGAGACAGGGUUUCACCAUGUUGGCCACGCGAGUCGUAUAUUCUUGUGGUGAUAGUGGCCUUAGGAAAAAAAAACAAAAACGCCUUCUUGGAUGACGUAAGGUAGAAGCCGCAGAAGCCUUGUUAAACAGUGCGUCUGGUCUGUGGGGCGGCUUUUGGAUAAACCCCUAGAAAAUGUGAAAACUGUCACGGGAAGAAGGGGCUGUACAGUGGAUGUUAAGUUGGGUGAAGUUUACGGUUCCACCCAUGAAUACUGAGCUUCAUCUGCCAACCUCGCAGGCCACUUUUCUUCAGCUCAAAGCUGAGGAUUUUUAAGCAGAUUUUCUGACAAUGAGAGGGGAGCAGAUAUGCUUCCUGCUCUUUAAGCGAUCUCGCUGGGAUCCUAGUCAUCCAUCUAGUGAAGUCAAGAACCCAUUAGGGUUCCACCGACCCAGGCUUUUUGUGCCCAAGUCACAGAUUCUUCCAAGUCAGACAAGCCUAGGGGCUUCUACCACACACGACAUAACUAUUUUCUUUCUGUUCCUUUCUUUUCCCUAUCAAAGUUCUCUCAGGCUCUCAUAAUGAUACAAACAUGGGUUUUACCAUCCUCCAUGAGACAGGAAAGACAAUUCUUGAAAUGACUUUUAAGUCACUUUGAUGUCAUUAGAGAAGUCAUUUAACAAGCGUGUUAUUGAGUUUAAAAAAUUAAAAGACUAUGGCCUUUGGUGACUUCCCUCCUUGGUGGGGCACUAUACUUUGCUCUCUAGCUGUUGCAGCCUUUUUUAUGGCUUGCAGGUUAAGUUAGGUGUGUGAGCUGCGCAAAAGCUCUGUAGUUUGUUAAUGAAAGCAAACGCUGUGGGCCUGACUUGGAACUGCACCUGGAUGUGGACUCACCCAAGUUGCUGGGCAUUGUGGGAUGGGAGGAAGGUGUUUUUCCUGAGACCAGAACUAGGAAAGUGAGAAAGGUUCCUGGUAGCAGGGAACCUGAACGAAGGACUACCUUUAAAAUUUCGGGGAAGGGCGAGGGUUUGUUCUUAAAACCCAUUUUUAGAAUAGGUUAAACCUAUAUACAAAUAGUAGCAUUCAUGGUGGCAGUACUUAGAGAAGAUUCAUCACAGUGGUUGGGAACGUAAAGGAAACGACAGUGGGGAUGGGCAAGCCUGGGAUUAGAAAAAAUAUGACCUCUUCCUUUCUCCUGAAUUAGUGCCUCGUCACUGUAAGCAGUCCUGGAAUUCAGGAACAAUGUUACAGAGAUAAUUAAACAGUAGUUCAGGUAUAAUUUUCAAGGCGGUUAAGAAUUUGGGAUUCAGUCUUGCUGAUAUGGAAUCCCAAAUUCAGUACACUUCGGGGAUGUGGGUCUGGUGAGUGGUGUCAGAGUAGCAGGAAUCUUGGGACUGAGGGAAUAGGUGAUAUUCAUUGUUAGGCAGCUACUUGCUGCAAAUGGCCUCUUCAUGGUUAGACCCUUUUCCAAAUGUCAGGACGCUAGACAUGUAAUGUUGAUUAUACAGGAAAGUCGUGUUUGGUGAUUUGCUUCUUUGAUCUCUCAGCUCUCCCCUCCAUUUUAACAUCACCAAAAUGCCUGAAUUUAGGAUGUGCUAUUUGUCCCCACACCCUGAAAUCCUGUGCUCUGUGCUGCUGGACUAAGUAAGUGGUAAAGAGUGUUGGAUUGCAGUGGGAACUUGCGGUUGAAUUCUCAAGUAUCCUACGUGUUGUCCUUUCCUCCAACUGAGAGAGAAUCUGAGGAGACCAACAAACUUUUGACCUCAGAUCAGAGGUGGAAAGAGGGAGCUUGCAGAGGUAUCAGUUCUGUGGGAGGUUGGAUUAUGACCAGAAAAUGGGAUAGUGACAUGAGGAGUGUGGCAGUGGUGUUAAGAACUUUUCUCCUUGGGGUGCUAGUUGAGAGCCUUUGCUGUCACUCAAUAUAGGGCCCGGAGCUGCCCUUUUGGAGUGAUGUGCUGAAAGAUGGAGCCCCAGUUGGCCCUGUCCUGGGUGAGGAUAUAGACCCGUGAAAAUGUCGGUUCCUAGGUUGAUGGUAAUUGGAAGAGCUUUCUGGGUGACUCUGAAGAAGGCUGUUGGGCUAAGGGUAAAAGACCAGCUGUCACGUACAGGCUAAGGGAUUCAGGACUCUCUUGAGACGUCUCUUUGGGUGGUAACUGGGAUGGUGUUACAGGUGUUGGACAGAAGUCUGAAGUGAGUCAGGGAUGGGAGGCUUCCUUUGUGCUCUGUGGCACAAUCACAGGCACAGUGGGAGGGAUAACGUUACCACCCCUCCUCUCCCUGAAGUGCCUUGUAUACAGCUGUGGGCUGUCCAACUGCAACUCACCUUGGGCUUUCUUGGCCUUCAUGCUAUGUGGAAAAGGGAGAAAAUGUCAUUGUGAGAGAUUUGGAAAAUACAUAACACAAAAAAGAAACACUCUUAUACCCAAAUAAUGAAAAGAAACUGAAGGAAAAAAAUUGUCUAAUUUAUGAGUUGCUUUAGUCCGGGAAGCCUGAGGCCCACAGAAUAAAUACCCAUGUAGAGAAGAUAUCAGUGUUUAGGUGUAGGUUAAGGGUCUUUGCUGAGGCUGGGGAUGGGACAGAACACAAAGCUUCUAGGUUUUUACCCCUUGACGAGAGGGCCUUUCUGGGGGAAGUGCUAUUGUGCAGGUUUUAAAAAAACUUUUGUGCAAAGUACAAAAGAGUUAUCAGAAUUUGGGCUUCUGAGGGAGUCAGGUUUGUUAUAUAUAUAUAUAGAUUUGGGGUUGUAAAGCAGGCAUUGAAAAAUAGCUGUGAGUUUCCAGAGUUUAAGGGGAACAAGGUUGGUAGUUGAGUAUUGGGUCUGGCAACCCUUUCCUGCAUGGUUGAAGGAAUUUGCUCUUGUUGAUGCUAACUGGAAGAGGGGAGCUUAAGGCUGCCUGACCAGAGCCCAAAAGAAACUGGAAUUAAGGUACUGGCUGGAUAGGCCAGCCAUAGACAUAUUUGUGUCUAUCCCAUAAAUGCAAAGCCAGGUGAAGGAUACUGGUUCUAUUACUCUCAUUUCCCCACACAAUUUGAGAAAUGUUUGGUGUAUGUGGUCCUGUAAUGAGGGACAAUGCUUUAAGUUGGAUAGCUGUCUUUACAAAACAACAGCAUUGCCGUAUUUUUCUCACUUGCUAUGCGCCAAUGAAAUCUUUCACCUAAUUGCCACAGUCCUGGAACAGCAUUUAAUUUCUACUGAUCUAGCCCAGCUCUAUGGCCCUAAAAACCAUGGCAUAAUGUCAUGGAGCUUCCCCAUCUUUCUUUGAGCAGAUGGCCAUAGGAAGGGUUUUAGGGUACCAAGAUUAUGGCCUGAAACUUCAUGGAGAUUCUGAAAUCUCUGCUUUAAGGAUUGAUUAGGGUUUCUCACCCUGCUUUUCCCUUCUGGAGUGUAUUUUUCUGUGGCCAUUUUGCAAAUUUCCCGGCAUCUUACUCUUUCAAAAAGCUUGGAAGUUUUCUGGCUCUGAUAUUUUCCCUUUGGUCUAUGUUCUGCCUUUUUCUUAGGUGUUUUUGGCUCUCCUCCCAACUAUUAGGUUGGUGCAAAAGUAAUUGUGGGUUCAGACCAUGAAUUUUAAAUCAUAACUAGGCUCAAACACAUCUUUAUUAAUCAAAAUUGGAACCAUUACCAUCAACACAUUUUUGCCAACAAGACCAAGUUUAUUCCUGUAGUGUAAAAAUCUGCACUUACAGAUUUGAGGAACUCUCAGAAAGCAUUUUCUGCAUACUGCUGGUUGUGGAAGUGUUUUCCCUGCAAAAAGUUGUCGAUGCUUGAAGAAGUGGUAGUCAGCUAGUGGGAGGUCAGGUGAAUAUGGCAGAUGAAGCAAUACUUUGUAGCCCAAUUCAUUCAAACUUUGAAGCGUUGGUUGUGUGACAUGUGGUCAGGCGUUGUUGUGUAGGAGAAUUGGGCCCUUUCUGUUGACAACUGCUGACUGCAGGCGUUGCAGUUUUCUAUGCAUCUCAUCGAUUUGCUGAGCAUACUUCUCAGAUGUAAUGGUUUCACUAGGAUUCAGAAAGCUGUAGUGGAUCAGACCAGCAGCAGACCGCCAGUGACCGUAACCAUGACCUUUUUUUUUUUUUUUUUUUUUUUUUGGUGCAAGUUUGGCUUUGGGAAGUGCUUUGGAGCUUCUCAGUCCAGCCACUGAGCUGGUCUUCACCGGCUGUUGUAUAAAAUCCACUUUUCAUCGCACGUCACAAUCUGAUCAAGAAAUGGUCCAUUGUUGUUGGGUAGAAUAAGAGAAGAUGACACUUCAAAAUGAUGAUUUUUUUUUUUAUUUUCAGUCAGCUCAUGAGGCACCCACUUUUAUUGAGCUUUUUCACCUUUCCAAUUUGCUUCAAAUGCUGAACGACCAUAGAAUGGCCGACAUUGAGUUCUUUGGCAACUUCUCGUGUAGUUGUAAGAUAAUCAGCCUCUAUGAUUGCUCUCAACUGGUCAUUGUCAACUUCCGAUGGCCAGCCAUUAUGCUCCUCAUUUUCAAGGCUGUUGUCUCCUUUGCAAAACUUCUUGAACCACCACUGGACUGUACGUUCGUUAGCAGAUCCUGGCCCAAAUGCUUUGUUGAUGUUGUGAGUUGUCUCUGCUGCUUUAUGACCCACUUUGAACUCGAAUAAGAAAAUUGCUUGAAUUUGCUUUUUGUCUAGCAUAAUUUUUGUAGUGUAAAAUAGACAUAAACAACAAGUAAUAAGUCAUUAGCAAGAAAACAUAGUGAGAAAUACCCAUUAAAAAGAUGUAUAACAUAACCACAUUUAUUUAAGAAUGUAUUCCAGUAUCAAACAGCAAAUUCCAACAAUGCAAAAACCGCAAUUACUUUUGCACUCACUUUAAUAACUUUCAGCUGCUCUUUGGGAAAAGGCCAAACAAUUUCACAACUACAGUAAAAACAAAAAAGCAAAAACAAAAGACAAACCUGUGUGUCUUGCCGCUGAUAACAUCUGGUUUGGUUUUGUUUUCCUUUAAAUGGUAUUUAGUUUCUGGACCCAGAAGCCUGCAGUAGUAAUGACAUACUUCCUGGUAUUCUUGCUUGAGAAUAAUUCUUGGAGUGUGCAACCAUAAAUAGCACGCAUGAUAUGCUUCAACCCAUAGUCUGUCAGAGUCCCCUUGCCACCAUUCAGUUGAAAGACAACUACUUGUCGACAGGGCUUCACGAUGAGUUUCCCGUAGGUAGCUGCCGUGACUCCAGAACUUUUUGAAAAUAAUUUAGAUUUGAAGGCAUUUUGAAGGACAAAUGGAGAGCCUGAGUUCUAGUCCUGGCACUGCCUUUAUUGGCUGUGUGAAUUUUGGCAAAUCUCCAGAUUUCUUUGGGUUGCGGUUUCCUCAUGGGUAAAAUCGGGAUAUUAAUACCUUCCUCACAGUGUUGUUUGGGAGGAUUAGAUGUGCUCUAUAGUCUGUCAUAUCACAUAAAUGCUUUCAAUUUUUGUUAUGACUUAAAAGCCAGUUUUAAAUAUGCCCUGGCCAAGAAGUUGGGGCACACAGAAAAAAAAAUCAACAAAAUUUUGUCUGAGAUCAACCCCUGGGGAACUCAGAGCCCAGCAGAAAAAGCAAAAAUAAAGGGGUUAAUGGGAGUGCUUUUCUGCUCCCCUCACCCCCUGACAAUCUAUUGACUGUUAAACUGUUGGGGAACCCUCUGCCUCUGAGACACAGGGCAACACCAUCGGUGGCUAUUAGAGAUUUUCCUGGAAAUUGGGAAACAGGUGACCAGCUUGCACAGCUGUGCUGCACCCCUGCCAACCACCCAGGCUGGGAGGGCGGUGUCAUACCAGUUGUACAUCCCCAGCACCAGUGCCCUGCCUGGAGAUCUCCACCCUUGAGCCAUUACACCACCAGACCACCCGAAAACAACCUCACAACAAUGCUGAGUUUGGCAAGCACAGACCAGAGGGUGGGUACCUGGGGAGUUGUGGGUCCCCUGGAGAUCCAACCCUCAGCUUCGACUGUACCUUGUGGGGGUGGAGCAUGGCCUGCCAAAGCCCACUUGGGACAAAGGAAACGUGGCAUGGUGUUGCCAGCAGUUGAAGAGGGCUACGGAAACCUAAGAACAGAUGUGGAGAAGGGGGAUCAUCUCUCGCCCCUGCCCCACUUCGCAGUCCACUGUUUUGGAUGCUCAGCAGCUCUUUUCCUGAGGCCUGAUAAGCACAUGCUGAAAGAGGGCCUUUUCUGCUUCUCCAGCUGGUGUACCCCUGCUGAGGGCCAGUGAGCCCUAAGAGCCUACCUGCCUGCUAUUUCUCUCAGGUGUCAUCUAUCGGACUGCACCCUGAAUUACAACACCACCAACAGUACAUGGCUACAACAGACAGCACCUGAAAAAGACACCACGGGAACCUACCUGCAACCAAGGAGCCUGUACAAAGCCUUGGCCCUCUGAAAGCACCCAGAAAUAAAGCCAAUUGAUCAUACACAACAUACACCACAGUCAAAACCCCAAGGGAAAAAAUGAAAAAAAAAAAAUCAAAAUGCCCCAUCUGAAUGAUAGCAAAUUAAAAAAAAAAAAAAAACCUCCAGCUAUUAGCUGGGUAUGGUGGUGCAUGCCUGAAGUACAAGCUACUCAAGAGGCUGAGGCAGAAAGAUCGCUUGAACUCAGGAGGUGGAGGCUGCAGUGAGCCAUGAUUGCACCACUGCCCUCCAGCCUGGGGGACAGAGCAAGAUCCCAGCUCUCCAAGCUUACUCUGGGGAUUCCUUGGCAGAGAGGGGGACUGUUCAGUUUGUUGGAGGCUUCAAAUUUUAUUUUUAUUUCUCUUUGCUGCUUUUUUGGCCAAGAUUUGCUAGAAGCAGCGUAGAUGGCCACACUUUUAUUUUGUCCCACAUUGUUGCUGAGGUGGUGUGCCUUCCUAUCCUGGAUCCAUCCUGUCCCUCAGUGGGGUCCCUAUGGCCAAGUGACUUAAGAGUCAGAAGACUUAGAGCCUGUUGAACAUUCCAGGCCAGCGGGGAAUGUGGUGGGCAGGCACUCAUCAACUCUUCAAACCUUUUAAGCAAUAUAUGAGCCAGAAAUCAAAGCCAAAAAGAAGGUUACAAAAUUGGCUUAUCUGAAAGAAAUCGCCUGAGGGGGAUGAGGCAGAGUGAGAGAAUGAGCCCCCAUGGCCUGGUGUUGGGUCUGAUCACCCCAACAUUCGUGGCACCCAAUGUGGGGCAAAGAAGACCCUGGUGAAGGAACACUACAGCGUGUGAAAGUGGAGGAUGCAUCAUCAGAGGACACUCGAGGACGACUGAAAGAAGCUCUGUGGGAAAGCUGUGUGCUCGGAAGAACCAGGGUGACAAUCAGGUAUCCGUGUGGGUACCCACCAAACAUGAAGAUCUAUCAUGAACCACAGCGUCUAGUGGACCCACCUGUAAAUUGAAGGUUUAAGGAUUGCUUUUUUGCUAUACUAUUGCACAAGAAGGAUAAGCCUCGAUUUGCUUUCUCUAUGCCUUCUGUUAAUCAGAAAAAGCCUGUUUCUCAUUAUCAAUGGUAAGUUUUACCCUGCGGUAAUUAACCAAAGAGGUAGAAGCUGAGUUACAAAUGCUUCAGCAAUAAUAAUAAUAAUAAAAGGCCUUUCUUUUGUUUUGCUAGAUUUACUAAUGUGGGGUGAGGUUAUGCUUGUGUUUUUGCAGGAGAUGAACACCGUGUGGGUGCCCUCAAGAUGUGUAUAACCAUGGAACAGGAGACUGGGGGUACCCAUGGAUCCCAACCAUGGACUGGGUUCCCCCAGUAUGAGCCAUGAGCCAGUUGAAUCUGAAUGUGAAGGUGGAAUGAGGACCGACCAGAGUCAUGCUGACAUCAACCCCCAUAACACAGGGAUAGAUCAAGAAAACCACACAGGAAGCUGAGAAACUGCUGAAGCACCAGGGUUUUACCUUUUGCUGGGAUUCAGAGGUACAACAGAUGCUUAACAGUCCAAUGCUUUCUGACUGAACUCCUCUCUACCCUGAAUACAAGAGACCCUAAGAGUUAGGCAGGAAUAUCAUCGCCCCUAUUCAGCAUGAAGAAGUUACAGAAGACGACCUUCAUCCUUCUGCAACCCUUAGAAUUAAGGGUCCUCUUGUAAAAGGGAAGGGGGAAACACGUAAGAAGCAUUCAAACCAGAGUGACUCCAUUUUGAAUAAGGGCUAAGAAAAAUGAAGCUGGAUCACCAACCAGCAAUUAAGGGCUGCACAGCCUGCAAUUGCCUUGCUCAAUUAAUUUAAAAACAAAAAGAGGACCUUUUGGAUUCAAAGUUGUGUUAUGUUACUCUUAAAUGCCAUCUAGAGGGCAGAGAUGAAAAUCUCAUCCUCGAGAUUGUAAAACUAAAAGAGCAGGUUUUUGAAGCCUCUCAGGCUCACUUAGCCCUGCUCCCUGGAACUGAUACUUUGAACAAGACCGCCAAUGGGUUGUCUACAAUCAAUCCUCUUAAAUGGAUUAAGGCCAUUGGAAGCUCUACACUUGCAGAUUUUAUUCUAAUAAUUAUGUGCUUGUGCUGUCUUCUUUUAGUCUGCAGAUGCAGAAGCCACUGCUGGAGAGAAAGCCGCCAUUGAGAACAAGCAAUGAUAGCUGUGGUAGUUUUACAAAAAAGAAAAGGGGGACAUGUUGGGAGAAACACUGAGUGUUGGGAGAGAAGCUGAGGCAGGGCUUGGAAUAUGUCCAGGGUAAAACCCCUCCUGGCCUUUGGAAUGUGUCCAGACUUGCUGGCUCCUUGCUUCUAGCACUCCCAUUAUCUCAAGUAGCCAUAUGUUUCAAAGAAAAAUGCUAAACUGUCACAGCUGUAGCUCAUUCACUUGAUACACCACUUCCCACCUAGCAUGUCCAGUUCAUAUUGCUGGAAGGGCAGAUUUACAUGCCUUCUGUUUUAUAGUACUAGUGUAGCAGGACCAGUCACAGACAAAACCUCUUGGACACUGGUUUUAGGAAGGAAGAGGCUUUAAUCAGCUGGGACCAUAGGUAGACUCACGUCCCAAGAUCCAAGCUUCUCAAAGUAAAGAUUCAUGUCCCUUUUAUAAGGGCUUACAACUCUAAGGGGUCCAUGUGAAAUGGUCAUGAUACAUUGUGCAAGUGGGGGCUAUGUGAUUGAGGGCUACAUGCAUCAGUGAUGGGGGCUAGCAGAACAGAACAAAGUUUCACAAGUCUUCCUCAAACAAUGUCUGGAAUCUAUAGAUAACACAAGCGAUUAGGUCAGGAGUUGAUCUUUAACUACCAGGCCUGGUUCUUGGUGCCAAGCCAUCUGGCUAUUGAUCUCACUUCUGCUAUUUUUUAACUUUUUGCUGCCUUUUUGAAACAGGAGACAAUGGGAGAGGUGGUCUCCUUCCUUACUAGUUAGGGAAAACACUCCUCAGUCAGAUACAAUACCCAUUUUCAUAAGACAUUUAGGUAAAAGAGACACAAGUACUGUACAUAAAGCCUAUUUAAACAUUCCAACCUUCAUAAUCAUAUCAGCCCUUACAUUUUCAUGUUCUGGCCCCAGGAAACUUUUUCUUUUCCACUCCCAGACCAUUUCACCCUCUCUGGUAAAAAAGGAUUUGGGUUCUCAGCAGCGACUUGAGCCAAGGGACCCAGGCUCUUUUGUCAAUCUUGACUAAUUUGCCUCAACAUUUUCCCAGGCAAUUGUUAAUCAGCUUUCUCAUUGUAACCUUUGCCUUCUGAUUGAAGAAAUUUCUCCAAUCUGGGGCAAAUACAGAAAACUAGUUUGGGGAUUUUUAAUUUUGAAGGACCAGCAGGUUCUCCCUUUGGUCUACCCAACCUUCAAUAGUGUUGUAUUAAAACCUUUGUGGUAUAUAUACAUAUUUCAAUAGCUUUUGGGGUACAAGUGGUUUUUGGUCUCUAAGAAGCUCCAAACUUUCCCUCAUUUUCCUUUCUUCUUCUAAGCCAUCCAAAGUCUUUCAACCUGCCACCCAAUUCCAAAGUUUCUUUCAUAUUUUCCGGUAUUUUUAUAGCAAUGCCCCACUCCUUGGUACCAAUUUUCUGUAAUAGGCUGUUCUUACAUUUUUAUAAAUACCAAAGGCUGGGUAAUUUACAAAGAAAAGGUGUUUAAUUGGCUCAUGGUUCUGUAGGCUUUAUAGGAAGCAUGGUGCUGGCAUCUGUUCAGCUUCUAGGGAGGCCUCAGGAAGCUUGCAAUCAUGGCAGAAGCUGAAGGGGGAGCAAAGGUCAUGCACAGUGAUAGCAGGAGCCAUUGAGAGACGGGGAGGAGGUGCCACACCCUUUUUAAACAACCAGAUCUUGUGAAAACUCACCAUUGCAAGGACAGCACCAAGGGGAUGGCAUUAAACUACGCAUCAGGGAUUCAUUCUCAUGGCCCAAUCACCUCCCACCAGACCCACCUCCAACAUGGGAGAUUACAAUUCAACAUGAGGUUUAGAGGAAACAACAUCCAAACUACAUCAACAUCUUACUUUAUACACCCUGUAUGUAGAAUUUUUUUCUCUUAUAUCUACUAGUUUUAAUCACAUAUAUUAACUACUAUUCUCUUAGUAACCCUCAUUUCUGGUGAAAAACCUAGGAUUACUUAAUGCUGGGAACAGGAUUUCUGCAACAAUGUGACAUGCUCAUGAUGGCUGUCAUGCACACGGCUAGAAGUUGUUGGUUUACUGGAGCAGGGAAAGGAACGCCUGGCCACCUAAAGUGGGAAACUGCUCAAACCACAAACAAUAGCAGGAGCAGCCUGUGCCUUAACAACAUGUUUUUGCUACUGAUAAUCAGCCAGAACCUGUUUCUCUACUCCUCGCUAAGAACGCUUUGUUUCCCAUAAGGAAUGCUUUUAGCUAAUCUAUAACCUAUAGAAACAAUGCUUAUCACUGGCUUGCUGUCAAUAAAUAUGUGGGUCAAACUCUG